GCAAUCUCCACUAUUUCUACACCAAGUCUAGUGACAAGGAGUAUGUCAAGAAAAAUGCUGGAAUAUGACUUAUCUACACCAACUAGAGCCAUGACACUAGUUUCUACACCAAGCCCUGUCACAAGAAGCCGUAAGAGGAUACUUGAACUUGAAGACACUAUAGAGCCUGUUCAAUGUCUUGCUUUAUCUCCAGUUCCUAUCAACGACAAGGAAAAGCCAAAAAAGCUGAAGGUUGUCAGAUUCAAGAAAACAUAAGCUAUGUAGUGAUAUGUUCAUGUAGUGUUGCUGUUCAAAGCAUGACCUUGUAAUAUGUGGCCUUGUAAUGUUUGGAUCUGGUACUGUACUAGAUAGCCUAAUAUGACUGGAGCAUGAUAUUUUGUUGGACCUGCUACUUCCAUUAACCUGUCAUAUUAUUCUAAGAUAAAAUACUGUUGAAUUGCUCUAUCA